GACGAACGCUGGCGGCGUGCUUAACACAUGCAAGUCGAGCGGAAAGGCCACUUCGGUGGUACUCGAGCGGCGAACGGGUGAGUAACACGUGAGUAAUCUGCCCCUGGCUUUGGGAUAGCCACCGGAAACGGUGAUUAAUACCGGAUACGACCACUUCUCGCAUGGGAUGGUGGUGGAAAGUUUUUUCGGCCAGGGAUGUGCUCGCGGCGUAUCAGCUUGAUGGUGAGGUAAUGGCUCACCAUGGCUUCGACGGGUAGCCGGCCUGGGAGGGUGACCGGUCACACUGGGACUGAGACACGGCCCAGACUCCUACGGGAGGCAGCAGUGGGGAAUAUUGGACAAUGGGCGGAAGCCUGAUCCAGCAACGCCGCGUGAGGGAUGACGGCCUUCGGGUUGUAAACCUCUUUCAGCAGGGACGAAGCGCAAGUGACGGUACCUGCAGAAGAAGCACCGGCCAACUACGUGCCAGCCGCCGCAGUAA
rnacentral:rRNA from 1 species